GUGUCAGCAGCCGCGGUAAUACGAAGGGGGCUAGCGUUGCUCGGAAUCACUGGGCGUAAAGGGCGCGUAGGCGGCCGAUUAAGUCGGGGGUGAAAGCCUGUGGCUCAACCACAGAAUUGCCUUCGAUACUGGUUGGCUUGAGACCGGAAGAGGACAGCGGAACUGCGAGUGUAGAGGUGAAAUUCGUAGAUAUUCGCAAGAACACCAGUGGCGAAGGCGGCUGUCUGGUCCGGUUCUGACGCUGAGGCGCGAAAGCGUGGGGAGCAAACAGGAUUAGAAACCCCAGUAGUCC
rnacentral:rRNA from 1 species